GACCCUCUCAGCACCGCUUUAUGCGCACACCAGGUUUAUUCCCAAUAGAGAGGAUCUCUGAAUCAGAUUAUCAAGCUGUUUCAGAUAGAGGGCUUAGGAGAAGAGCCUCGCCGCACCAGGGCAGCGAAGUCCAGCACCAGGUAGUUUUCAGGGAGUUUGGCAGCUGUCUCUUCCCUCUGGGCACCGCGGGCUCCAGAGCAGGUGAGGAGAGCUACAUGCGGCAGCUGAGGACAGACUCUCACGUCUCUAUUAACUGAGGUAAGAGGAGGGUAUCCUGGGGAAGAUGGCGCCUUCUCACUCUGCCGCUUCAUUCCCGCCGAAGUUGUAAAGCCGGAUUUUAUGGGUCUGGACACCCCAGGGUGGGAAAAUACCAGUUCACUGUGUGCUAAGCUUCCUCUGGACUUAGAAGAGA